GACGAACGCUGGCGGCGUGCCUAACACAUGCAAGUCAACUUGACUGAAGGAGCAAUCUGACAGUAGAGUGGCGCAAGGGUGCGUAACGCGUAAGUAACUUGCCCCAAGGUAAGGAAUAACGUCGAGAAAUCGGCGCUAAUACCUCAUAAUGCAGCGGAUCCGCAUGGAUAUGUUGUUAAAGGUUUACCGCCUUGGGAUAGGCUUGCGUCUGAUUAGCUAGUUGGUGUGGUAACGGCACACCAAGGCUACGAUCAGUAACUGGUCUGAGAGGAUGAUCAGUCACACUGGAACUGAGACACGGUCCAGACUCCUACGGGAGGCAGCAGUGAGGAAUAUUGGGCAAUGCUCGAAAGAGUGACCCAGCAACGCCGCGUGGAGGAUGAAGGUAUUCUAUAUCGUAAACUCCUGUGAGAGCAGACGAAAGACAGAUUAUUAAUCUGGAUGACUGUAUGCUCAGAGGAAGCCCCGGCUAACUACGU
rnacentral:rRNA from 1 species